UUCGAUUUUAAUAAGACUCCGCGUUUUCCACUUUAUGUUUAUGCCCCAUAAAGUGGAAAAAGCGGAGUCUCAUUAAAAUCGAAUAAACAAU